GAUGAGAACGUAGCGAACUGCGAUAAGUAAUGUGAAUUGCAGAAUUCAGUGAAUCAUCGAGUCUUUGAACGCACAUUGCGCCCCCUGGCAUUCCGGGGGGCAUGCCUGUCCGAGCGUCAUUGCUGCCCUUCAAGCCCGGCUUGUGUGUUGGGUCGUCGUCCCCCCCGGGGGACGGGCCCGAAAGGCAGCGGCGGCACCGCGUCCGGUCCUCGAGCGUAUGGGGCUUUGUCACCCGCUCGAUUAGGGCCGGCCGGGCGCCAGCCGGCGUCUCCAACCUUCUAUUUUACCAGGUUGACCUCGGAUCAGGUAGGGAUACCCGCUGAACUUAAGCAUAUCAAUAAGCGGAGGA
rnacentral:misc_RNA from 1 species